GGCCCCGCGCGCGGCCGCGUUUGAAUGGCCCUGAGUGGGGCUCGGCCCGGGAGCCCGGGGACGCUCUAGGCUUCCGGGCGCAGUUGGUCAGCGCCAGGGCUCGACUGAGGCGCCGCGGGACGAUGAGGCGCCGGUAUUUAAGAGAUUAUGGCAUCUGAAACCCACAAUGUUAAAAAACGGAACUUUUAUAAUAAUAUUGAGAAUCAUUCCAUUGAUCGUCCUAGAAAAAGGAUCUCUAAUUUCACUAAUAAGAACAUGAAGGAGGUUAAGAAAUCUCCAAAACAGUUGGCUGCUUACAUAAAUAGAACAGUUGGACACGCUGUUAAAAGCCCAGAUAAACUACAUAAGGUGAUCUAUCACAGAAAGAAAGUUCAUUAUCCUUUCACAAAUUCUUGUUUUAAAAAGAAACAGUCCCCUAGAAGUGGGGGCUGUGACAUGGCAAAUAAAGAAAAUGAACUGGCUUGUGCAGGCCACCUGCCUGAAAAAUUACACCAUGAUAGUCGAACAUAUUUGCUUAACUCCAGUGAUUCUGGUUCUUCACAGACAGAAAGCGCAUCAUCAAAAUACAGUGGGUUUUUUUCUGAGGUUUCUCAGGAUCAUGAAACAAUGGCACAAGUUUUGUUCAGCAGGAAUUUGAGAUUGAAUGUAGCUUUAACUUUCUGGAAAAAGAGAAGUAUAAGUGAACUUGUAGCUUAUUUGGUGAGGAUAGAAGACCUUGGAGUGGUGGUGGAUUGUCUUCCUGUGCUUACCAAUAGUUUACAGGAAGAAAAACAAUACAUCUCACUUGGCUGCUGUGUAGACUUGUUGCCUCUUGUAAAGUCACUACUUAAAAGCAAAUUUGAAGAAUAUAUAAUAGUUGGUUUAAACUGGCUUCAAGCAGUCAUAAAAAGGUGGUGGUCAGAACUAUCGUCCAAAACAGAAAUUAUAAAUGAUGGAAAUAUUCAUAUUUUAAAACAACAAUUAAGCAGAUUGUGGGAACAAGAAAACCAUCUUACUUUGGUUCCAGGAUAUACUGGUAAUAUAGCUAAGGAUGUAGAUGCUUAUUUAUUACAGUUGCAUUGAAAGACUUCAUCUACUAAAGAGCAUUUGGUUAUUCAAAACAUCCCUGGACUAUAUGAUUUCCAAACAAGUCUCAUUGGAGAACUGUGAACUGUGGAAGAAAUCAAAACCUUUUUCUUUUAAAGCCACGUAUGAAACCAAUAACAAAACCCUAACAAUCUACUUCACAUUGAAGUGGAAAAAUAUCCGAAAGGAGCAGCUUCAACUUUAAUAAGGUGAAAGUGCACUAUGAAGAUUGUUCACCUUUGCUGCAUUUGGGAUUUAUAUGGUUGCUUGGCAAGAACUACUGGAUCUUAAUGCAAUCCUUCAUAAGAAUAUACUUUAUACUAUGUGAAAAAAUAAGACAAAACUUAUAACUAGGAAAAGCAAAGACCAAUCAUCAUUACUUUUUUUAAGAUUGUGUUUUAUAAGAAAACACUCAAAUGUGUGCAGCUAUUUUCUUAUGUUGAAAGACUUUGAAAGUUUUAAACAUCAUAGCAAAUAAUCAAUACUAAAAGUUUUUUUGUCCACACUGAGAUACUGUGUAAACAAAAUGCCUUAAUUAUUAAUAAGCCAAUGUAUAUGAUACCAAGAUCUGUUUUAAAAAAAAAGUAAAACCAACCAUGCUUCUGGCAUGAAAGUUAUGGAAUUAAAUCAGGGGUUUCCAUUCAUGUGGAAUGUUGUUAAAACUUAUUCCGCACCAUCUUUAAAACUUGAGAAUAUUUUUAAUAUCUCUAAAAAUUUUUUGCCGGAAUUGUCAUGUCAUGUAUGUAUGUGUUAUUACUAUAUAAAAGAAAGAGGUGAAUAUGUAUUUGUAUGUGUGCUUAGCUGGAAAUGUUCAUAGAGUUGGCUAAUUUAUAUUCACUUUCUAUUGUAUAUAGAUUUCUAAUAUUUUCAGUUCUGUAUCAUUUAAGCUUCAUUUGAGUAAAUUUACUAAAUAUUCCCAUUUUUUGCUUUUUAAAAAUCUUGUUUUGUAUGAAUUCUAGUUGUUUUUCACUACAUUAUGAUUUAAAGAAUUAUAUACAAUGCUUUAGCAAUGUUUACAGUUAGUGCUGACCUUAUAUUUUGAAUUCCAAUACUUUAUAUUACUACCUCCUCCAAUGGUUGGUAUGAAAUGCCAGCAGACUGUAUGAGGUCUUUUUAUUUCCUUAAUACCAUUUUUUGGUGUCAAGGACCCCACUUGUGGAAUGUCUUCACAGCUGUAUAUUUUAGCCUGUCUUGAGAGUGAUUGGGCUUUAAAUACCACUAUUGUUUCCUACAUCAUCUCAUCUUUAAUGAGCCCAAGAUGCAUCUGAGCAAAGAUUCUUAGUAUCAAAUUUCUGUGCAGUAAUCCUUCAAGCACUUGAAUUAUCUCUUCCUAUUUAAGAACAAGAUGGUAAUGUCAGUUGCCUUUAUUGAUUUAAAGGGGAAAAAAUAGAAUCACAAGCAGCUGACUCACUGGAGUGGUCCAUUUGGAUGCACUACUUCUUAUCCUUCAAUAUAGACUAUUAUUUUCUGGAUUACUUCAGGUGAAAAAAGUAUUGCUGGACAUUUGUUGCUAAAGAUGGGCUUUCCAGAGAACUCCAGUGAAGGCUUUACCAGGGGAAAAAUAGUAGGACACACACCAUGAAACCAGAAGAAAAGUUCACACCAGAAGACACAUUCUAACCUGGCUGGGAGCUUACCUGGAAAUGCAGCCCAUCCUCCCCAUUGAGAGCUGCCUAUUAUCAUGGGAAGAUUAACAACUUUGUUGCAGAAACCAGAAUCGCCAGCCCUUUGAAGACCCCCAGCCCUUUGCAUAUCACUAGCCCUUUGAAAAUCCCUAGCCUAUAUUACCUGUUAACUGCCCAUUUAGCAUACCAUUUUACCUACUUUCCCAUGUAAUCUUUGUCCUUCUACCCAAUAUAAACAGCUGACUUAUGGAAAGAAGGAGAGCAGAUUUCUGUGAAUGACCAGCUGCUCUCCCAUACUGCCGGCAGUAUUGGAAUAAACGCUC